UCUGUUUGAUCCUGGCUCAGGACGAACGCUGGCGGCGUGCCUAAUACAUGCAAGUCGAGCGAGCUGAAUUCAAAGAUCCCUUCGGGGUGAUUUGUUGGACGCUAGCGGCGGAUGGGUGAGUAACACGUGGGCAAUCUGCCCUAAAGACUGGGAUACCACUUGGAAACAGGUGCUAAUACCGGAUAACAACAUGAAUCGCAUGAUUCAAGUUUGAAAGGCGGCGUAAGCUGUCACUUUAGGAUGAGCCCGCGGCGCAUUAGCUAGUUGGUGGGGUAAAGGCCUACCAAGGCAAUGAUGCGUAGCCGAGUUGAGAGACUGAUCGGCCACAUUGGGACUGAGACACGGCCCAAACUCCUACGGGAGGCAGCAGUAGGGAAUCUUCCACAAUGGACGCAAGUCUGAUGGAGCAACGCCGCGUGAGUGAAGAAGGUUUUCGGAUCGUAAAGCUCUGUUGUUGGUGAAGAAGGAUAGAGGCAGUAACUGGUCUUUAUUUGACGGUAAUCAACCAGAAAGUCACGGCUAACUACGUGCCAGCAGCCGCGGUAAUACGUAGGUGGCAAGCGUUGUCCGGAUUUAUUGGGCGUAAAGCGAGCGCAGGCGGAAUGAUAAGUCUGAUGUGAAAGCCCACGGCUCAACCGUGGAACUGCAUCGGAAACUGUCAUUCUUGAGUGCAGAAGAGGAGAGUGGAAUUCCAUGUGUAGCGGUGGAAUGCGUAGAUAUAUGGAAGAACACCAGUGGCGAAGGCGGCUCUCUGGUCUGCAACUGACGCUGAGGCUCGAAAGCAUGGGUAGCGAACAGGAUUAGAUACCCUGGUAGUCCAUGCCGUAAACGAUGAGCGCUAGGUGUUGGGGACUUUCCGGUCCUCAGUGCCGCAGCAAACGCAUUAAGCGCUCCGCCUGGGGAGUACGACCGCAAGGUUGAAACUCAAAGGAAUUGACGGGGGCCCGCACAAGCGGUGGAGCAU
rnacentral:rRNA from 1 species